GCUCGUUGAAGAAUGAAGAGGGAGAGAACCAUGCAUUGACAACAAUAGGCACUUUAAACUUUACUAAACAAGCAAGAGGAGGAAGUUCAUCUUAGUUCAUAGUGGCGAUUCAUGUAACCUGACAAACGCAGAAGCACGACUAGGAAUAUUGUGACAACUCUAGUUUGGUCAUUCUAUAUAUUAUUUAACUGUUGUUCUAUAGGACUUUCAUUUACAGUAAGUAUACGUAUUUUACGUUUGAUUCUUCGAACUAUAUAUCAUUUACGAACUAGUGGUAUAAACUAGAAGUAAGAGUACUAGAGACCUUUUCUCUCUGGCACACCACCCAAGGCGUCAUUUCAAGAUCACCCUUCGAUCUCCAUGGAUUCACACUGCAAGGUCUUCUCUGUCAUCAUCCCCGUCCAAACCUCCAUUUAAGAAGCUAUGCUUCUCCUCAUCGGGACUCCACCUAGGUUAACCCGAAGCGUUUCAAGGAGAGGUGAAGAACUCUUGAAAGCUCAAAGGUCGAGCUUUUCAUCUGUCUCUGCGUUUUCCAUGCCUAGUUCGUUGCCUCCGGUGAGAAUUCGCCUUUCCAAUGUCUCAGACCCUGCUUUCGUUUCAGUGACGAAGAGCCCUCCUUCACUAUCCUGUAAGCCGGAACCUCCAGAUCUGGUUCCGGAGGAGCAGCUAGAACACUUGUUUGAAGCUUUAUCUUCGCCAGAUCCGCCGCUUGAAGCUCUCUCUCCACCAGACUGCCGCCUGAAACUCUCUCUUCGCCAGAAGCACCAGACCCUCCUGACGUACCGUCGUUGGUAAUAUGAUUCUUUGCUGGGAGUCUAAUGUUGAAGAUUAGAAAUACUUCUAACACUGAAGUUCUAAUCAAAGACUUUGUAGCUAUGUUGAAGAUUGUUGAUUGUGCAUUUGCUGCUGCUUCAAUCCUGGGAGUUAUAUCACUGAUUGUGGUCUCUAAUUUCCAAGGCUUCGUCUCACUUUACAGCUCGAUGGUCGUUGAGAUCAGAGGACUUCUCGACGUCAUUAGUUGUUUAAGCGUUUUGUAUACUCCUAUCCUUCUAUGUUGUAUUUGUUUCCUUGUAAUAGCUGUCUGUUUAGCCUGGAUGGCUAUGUUUUCAUGUUC